GCCACGGUAGUCUAGCGGUCAGAACACUAGCCUUGUAAGCCUGGGGUCCCGGGUUCAAUUCCCGGUGGUGCUC
rfam:Zootermopsis nevadensis contig30270, whole genome shotgun sequence.